CAGUCGCCGCGGGAAUACGUAGGUGGCAAGCGUUGUCCGGAAUUAUUGGGCGUAAAGCGCGCGCAGGCGGCCUCUUAAGUCUGAUGUGAAAGCCCCCGGCUCAACCGGGGAGGGCCAUUGGAAACUGGGAGGCUUGAGUAUAGGAGAGAAGAGUGGAAUUCCACGUGUAGCGGUGAAAUGCGUAGAGAUGUGGAGGAACACCAGUGGCGAAGGCGACUCUUUGGCCUAUAACUGACGCUGAGGCGCGAAAGCGUGGGGAGCAAACAGGAUUAGAUACCCCCGUAGUCCCUGUCUCUUAUAC
rnacentral:rRNA from 1 species